rnacentral:rRNA from 1 species
AACGAACGCUGGCGGCAUGCCUAACACAUGCAAGUCGAACGAGACCUUCGGGUCUAGUGGCGCACGGGUGCGUAACGCGUGGGAACCUGCCCUUAGGUUCGGAAUAACUCCCCGAAAGGGGUGCUAAUACCGGAUAAUGUCUUCGGACCAAAGAUUUAUCGCCUUUGGAUGGGCCCGCGUUGGAUUAGCUAGUUGGUAGGGUAAAAGCCUACCAAGGCGACGAUCCAUAGCUGGUCUGAGAGGAUGAUCAGCCACACUGGGACUGAGACACGGCCCAGACUCCUACGGAGGGCGGAGGUGGGGAAAAUUGAACAAUGGGCGAAGGCCUGAUCCGGCAAUGCCGGGUGAGUGAUAAGGGCCUAGGGUUGUAAAGCUCUUUUACCCGGGAUGAUAAUGACAGUACCGGGAGAAUAAGCUCCGGCUAACUCCGUG